rnacentral:lncRNA from 1 species
AGGGUCGUUAGCCGAACGGGUUUGACAGGACUAGAAUUCUCCCUUCAUUAAAAGUAUUAAUGAUAAUACUAAGUAACUAAACUCUUAAUAAUACCCAAUCUUAGUUACUUAGGAAAAAUGUGAAUAAGGUGCUAAUNAACGGGUUUGACAGGACUAUAAUUCUCCCUUCAUUAAAAGUAUUAAUGGUAAAUACUAAGUAACUAAACUCUUAUAAAUACCCAAUCUUAGUUACUUAGGAAAAUGUGAAUAAGGUGCUAAUCCAUGAAAUUACACUUUGCACUUUGUUUUAAGUCGGUUAGUGGAGCGUGUGUGGUUAACUGGCACACUAACUCGUAUCUAACAAGGUAGGCAAAGGGUAACUUAAUGUUUAUCAUAGUAUCGAUGGAGCGUGUGUGGUUAACUGGCACAUCGAUUGAGGGGUAAACACUUAAGGGUACCAAGUAAUUUGCAUGGUUACUUCACACCUUGUUUUGUGAUCCUCGGCAUCCCAGUCACAAAACCUGAAGGGCACACUCGAGAUUGAAACAUGCCAUUGAACAGUUCAAUGAAUCUCAAAAGAUCUAGGAGUUUCAAAAACCAAUUAAAACCUAAUAAUACAUUUCGUUUAUCUUGGUGGAAAUUGGUGAAUCGUCAUUCACCUACCUUCAAAUUGUUUUAUAGCUUGGAUUACGGCAUACCUCUUCUAAGUUAUAAAAUAGUUUGUUGGGUCCUAGCCUUAAUAUUUCAUAUUGGGUGUCAUAUUAAGGACUUUAAAUCAACUAUCUUGAAUAUCUCCCAAAAGAUGUCUGGUUUAGACACCUAUGAUCUUCCCAAAUCUCUUGAAACAAGCUUUCCUAAAUGAAGAUGAUGUUCCAUGGAAAUCAUACUUCUUUCACCUCCUCCAAUUAUUUUCCCUACCCCACAAGUUCUUGAAAAGUUUAAGGUUACUCGAGCCCUAUUGGCAAGUAAAGGUCUAGGUAUGGUCACAUCUUGGA